CUCAUGAAUUCCUGGGGACCAUGAAACAAGAGGGAACCCUACUUUUAAAAGGAAAGAAACAUUGGCAAUUCUCAUCUCUGGAUUUCUAGCAAAUUUGUUUUUCUUAUCAUACUGAUUUUGGUUUUUCUUCCUUUCUUCUGUGGUAUUGAGGGUUUUGUUCUUCCGCUGGAUUACGAGAGGGCACUCAAGUUUUCAAAGAGGCGAAUGAAAAGAUUUAAGUGUUUUCGGUGAGACAGAAUGGCUUCACAUUAUUGAGUACGUUGAUGAAGUUUGCGCCUGAAUGGGAAGAAUAAUUUCUCACAUCCAAUGUGUGAUGGCUGCUAUAGUUAUGAGACAAGUUCUUAAACAUGCCGUAAAAGAAGGGAAUGCAUCAACGACCUUUUAGCAUGAAUAGUUGGUCUCCCUGAGGAUUAGGAUUGAUCAUAGUAGAGAAGAUAUGAGAAGUUUGAUGUUCCAAUGGCCUACACUUAGAGCAACAAUGAUUGAUGUUGCAAUAGCUUGGUCUGCAAGUUUUUACCGCUACCAUUUGUUCUUGACUUCUUUCAUGGGUUUUGGUUAGUAUAUGCAGGGAUUUGUUCUUUGGUUGGUUUACAAGAGGGAACUUUACUAUGAAAAAGGUAAGAAAUAUGGGCAAUCACCGACUCUUGAUAUCUAUCAAAUUCGUUUUCCUUAUCAUUCAUUGUGGUUUUGUUUUCUUUUCUUGUGUUGUAUUGAGGGC
rnacentral:sRNA from 1 species